rnacentral:rRNA from 1 species
UACGGAGGGUGCAAGCGUUGUUCGGAAUCAUUGGGCGUAAAGCGCGUGUAGGCGGCAAGUUAAGUCUGAUGUGAAAGCCCGGGGCUCAACCCCGGACGUGCAUUGGAUACUGGCUCGCUAGAGGAUGAGAGAGGGAAGCGGAAUUCCUGGUUUAGGGGUGAAAUCCGUAGAUAUCAGGAGGAACAUCAGUUGCGAAGGCGGCUUCCUGGCUCAUUUCUGACGCUGAGACGCGAAAGCGUGGGUAGCAAACAGG